rnacentral:lncRNA from 1 species
CUGGUAAUGUUCUUGCCUCUACCUCAUCCCAUGUCAGAUCUCAUCUCAACAACCAGAAUGAUCUUUAAAAAUAUAAAUUUACCUAAAGUACACCAUAUUUUUCCCCUUAAACUCGUGGCUCAAUAUAAAUUUCAUACCUCAUCUCUUUAACAACCCGAUCUCCUUUUCUUCGUGAGGAGUGUUUAAGCUCCAUGAGUGCGACAAACUGUUGGAUCUCCCUAAACCCUGUUAUGCAGAAGUUUGCCAGAAAGCCCAAGAGGUCAGUAUAAGAUGAAUAUUGACUGAUUGGAUAAACUUGUGCUGAGAGAGCAAGUGAAUUAUACUUGAUCUCUCUGGUCUGGGAAGUGUUCAUGUAAAUUGAAAGAACUGAUGUGUCUUUUGAAUUAAAUAAGUGCUUUGAUGAUGUAAUGAGCAAAUAAAAAUAGUGAUGUGUUAUGUCAUAAAUUGUGUUAAUACACAAACUCGAUUAGCAUUAUUACAGUGGUCAAAAUAUUUUAAUUUCAUGUUGACUGGGUUCUAGUAAAUACUUUGUGCAGAAAUACUAAGGAAGUCAUUUGUGACAUUAGGUUACAAUAAGAUGGUGACUUCCAUCCCAGCUUUGCUUUCUCACUCUGUUAAAGCAUAGUUUACUCAAUGGAAACCAGCUUCCUGUCAUAAGGCAGCCCAGAGAGAAGGAACAUAGUUAUGUGUUGUGAAGACACUCAGCCUAUCAAGAGGUCCAUGUGAUGAGGAACUGAGGACCACUAGCAACUUUGAGGGAGUGUGGAAACAGAUCUUCCCCUGUCAACCUUGUAACAGUCUGACUGCCACCUCUUGAGAGACCCUGAGGCAUAACCACCCAGCCAAGCCACUCCUGGACACUUAAUCCACAGAAACCAUGAACCAAUAGAUGUUGAUUGGUUUAAGCUGCUACACUUGGAACAAUUUAUUGCACAGCAACAAAAGAGCAGAUCACCUGCUGUUAAUUUCUUGCAAUUUUGAAAGCAACAAUUCCCUGCAAGACAUUAAAAGAAACAACUCUUUAAGGUGGAAGUCUUCCAUAGGAAAAUAUAGAAUGAGUUGCUCAGAGGAGGGGACAGCAGAUGGAGCUGCUAGCAGUCAUUUCAGCAGAUCAAUGGGGUUGUUGAAAGCUAAGUUAUGAAAAGAGCAUUGAACCACAAGUGUAAGAAGAAAACAUGGGAAAUCUUAAGCAAAAAAUGGUAGGAUCCAAUUUAUAUUUUUAAAGAUCAUUCUGGUUGUUGAGAUGAGAACUGACAUGGGAUGAGGUAGAGGCAAGAAUAUUACCAGGACCAGGGGGGUAGGUGCUAUAGACCUCCAGGAAAGAAAGAAUCAUCACCUGGAGAAGAUUGGUGUGGGAGACAUGGCAGAAGGACUCAUAUCAUAUUUGGGGUAAAUUCUGAAGGUCCAGACACCUGGACCUGCCUAUGGCCAUGGGGCAGUGGGGGUGAGAGCUCAAGGACAAUUUCCUGUCUUGGAACUAAGACUGAACCAACUGUUGUUAACUGAGAAAAGAGUGAGGGAGGGCAGGUGUUAAAACAGACAGGAAGUCAGGAUUUCUCAUGGGGACAUGCUACGUCAAGCACACCUCCAAGAGGGCAAGGGCACUGCCUGGGGGCUUCUGCUCAUCGGCAGGUGCCUAAGCUCCUGCUGCAAGUCUUGCUCUCGGCAUCCACCCCACCCUUCCUGACUGACACCCUUCUCUUCCAGCUCCUCCAUUUCCUCUGCUUUUGUUGUGCCUGCCGAGUUCAGAGCUGAUAUUUAUCCCACUGCAGCUCACUAAUCUCUUUCCUGCACUGCUGACAUUGGAGAAGGGGAGUGAAAGGUCCUGAGCUGAGUGAUAUCGUGAAG